UCUGGUGUCCUAGGCGUAGAGGAACCACACCAAUCCAUCCCGAACUUGGUGGUUAAAACUCUACUGCGAUGACGAUACUAUAGGGGAAAUCCUACGGAAAAAAGCUCGACGCCAGGA
rnacentral:rRNA from 1 species